UUGAUUCUGAACUACAGAACGUUUAUUUUCAACGAAAGCAAUAUGAAAGGGAUACAAAGGAACUCAUUUCAACCAUUGAAAUCCAUUCAAAUACAAUUGAACAAAGGAAACACCCAAACAUUAUAUCAUCAAAAUAAAAAAACUGUACACAAACCCAACUAAGGCAUCACAAACAACAAUGAAACCUUAAUUAAAAGAUCAAAACAUGGAACUAAAGAAAAAUUGUAGGAGAAAGGGAUAAAUUGACCUUGAACAAAUCUGAAAUAUAAUUGUUUGACAGCUUCAAAAUGCUAAGCGGCAAAAAAUUGGCAAGAAAACCAAUGAACUGAAAUUCAACAAACUCAUAUUCGACCACGACGAACCUCGAACCAGCAACCUUGCUCGUUAGCUCCAAACAGAUCUUACACAAAAUAUAUUUUUGAAACCAGAUUUUGACUCCAACAAAAAGCACAAACUAAUCUUAAUGUGAGUAUAUCCAUGAUAUUAAAAUAGAGAUUAUCGCGGGUACAUCGAUCUAGAGAUCCACUAUCUUGUUGGGGCUUUUUGGUUGCUUGAUUUCUAAGCUGAAGUGAUAGCCUUUCGUGGCUGAAACUGGUUGGUAGUGUUGGAGUUUUCCGUGGCUGCUUCAGUCGCGUUCUUUGGUUGAGGAGGUAGAGAUUUGCAUCUGGUUUUUGUGCAUUUUCGGGCGAGGGGUCACUGGAGUUGGGGGUCGCAUGUGUGUGUGUUUGUUGAAGAUGUUGACAAUGAUUUUUUGUGUUUUUAAAAUCAGAAAACGGCAAUGUUUGUUUUUUCGGUGAUCUGCUGUGAUGAGUGAUGGUGAAGGGAGCGGUGACGACGGCUGUCUUGACAAGUGAGGGUGGUACUGCGCAGCUGAUGGGUUAUGUAGAUUGGGGUUUUUGGUUUUAAAGAUGAUGAAGAAGGAUCCUAGGGUUUUUUCAAUUUUUGAAGGCGAAGGCUCAAAUCUAAUGGGUGUCCUCCCCCCAAAAAAUGCUCCUCAUUCCUUUAGGUCCG
rnacentral:lncRNA from 1 species